ACGGGAGGCAGCAGUGGGGAAUAUUGCACAAUGGGGGAAACCCUGAUGCAGCAACGCCGCGUGAAGGAAGACGGUUUUCGGAUUGUAAACUUCUGUUCUUAGUGAAGAUAGUGACGGUAGCUAAGGAGCAAGCCACGGCUAACUACGUGCCAGCAGCCGCGGUAAUACGUAGGUGGCAAGCGUUGUCCGGAAUUACUGGGUGUAAAGGGAGCGCAGGCGGGGAGCCAAGUCAGCUGUGAAAACUACAGGCUUAACUUGUAGACUGCAGUUGAAACUGGUUUUCUUGAGUGAAGUAGAGGUUGGCGGAAUUCCGAGUGUAGCGGUGAAAUGCGUAGAUAUUCGGAGGAACACCGGUGGCGAAGGCGGCCAACUGGGCUUUAACUGACGCUGAGGCUCGAAAGUGUGGGGAGCAAACAGGAUUAGAUACCCUGGUA
rnacentral:rRNA from 1 species